AUCAAGAGUGUUAGAGUGUGUCAGUUGUUGCCAUCGUUGGUAAAGGAGGUCUUGGAAAAACUGCACUUGCACGACUAGUGUACAACGAUGGGGAGGUAAAAGAACAUUUUGGGCUUAAGAUGUGGGUGUGUGUGUCUGAUGUCUUUGAUGUGAAUUCGAUUAUCAAAGAUAUUCUUAAAUCUGCAAAAGUUGACUGUCAAGGGUAUGAUCAUGAUCAAUUG